GGUCUUUUGUUUGUCCCCCUUGGGGUUUUCCACCAAGGGGCCCUGGGCCUUUGGGUUGAGCUGGGUGGGCCUUUCCCUGUACAGGCGGAGGAAGCAAGUGCAAGGUGAGCGGUGGGAGAACCUGCAAGGCCCCUGCUCCCAGGGGAAGGGGAGGCGGGCUUCAGGGGAGUGUCCAUAUGGGCGCCCAGAAACUGGAAACUGCGUCCCUGAAGGCUGCAAGCCCUCUGGGCAGUUCGGGUCACCCCGGCUGAAGAAGGGCGUUGAAGACACAUGGAAAAGGUGGUGGGAGAGGACUGAGUUGAAACCCAGGCCCCGAGUGGAAGAGCCUGCUGGAGGCCACAGGAGCCCGUUCCCCAACCUGAAGCCCUGGAGACGGCCCGGCUUGAGAGGGCGAGGGCCCACAGCGGGGACCCAACUCACUUCUUCGUUCCCACCUGCCCUGGGGUCCGACGGGAAGCGGGGACGGGGAGCGGG
rnacentral:lncRNA from 1 species